rfam:Reinekea sp. MED297 scf_1099646007055 genomic scaffold, whole genome shotgun sequence.
GAAUGCGGCUGUUAAUGUGCACGGCAUGCACUCCUUUAUUGAAACGCACAUUCUUGGAGUAAAGUACGAUGGCUUUAAGCGUCGAAAAGAAAGCGGAAAUCAUCAAAGAGUUCGGACAGGGCGAA